GAAAAAUUUUUUACUAAAAUUUUUUUAUAUACAGUAGAACCUCUAUAACUCGAACUCCAAGGGAGAGGCAAAAAAAUUCGAGUUAUAAAGGAUUUCGACUUAGGCGGAUUUUGAUUCGACAUAUAGAGGUUGAGAUUCAUUUUUAUAAAUUUUGAGGUAGAG